UGGGGAAUAUUGCGCAAUGGGGGGAACCCUGACGCAGCCAUGCCGCGUGAAUGAAGAAGGCCUUAGGGUUGUAAAGUUCUUUCGGUAUUGAGGAAGGUUGAUGUGUUAAUAGCACAUCAAAUUGACGUUAAAUACAGAAGAAGCACCGGCUAACUCCGUGCCAGCAGCCGCGGUAAUACGGAGGGUGCGAGCGUUAAUCGGAAUAACUGGGCGUAAAGGGCACGCAGGCGGUUAUUUAAGUGAGGUGUGAAAGCCCUGGGCUUAACCUAGGAAUUGCAUUUCAGACUGGGUAACUAGAGUACUUUAGGGAGGGGUAGAAUUCCACGUGUAGCGGUGAAAUGCGUAGAGAUGUGGAGGAAUACCGAGGGCGAAGGCAGCCCCUUGGGAAUGUACUGACGCUCAUGUGCGAAAGCGUGGGGAGCAAACAGGAUUAGAUACCCUGGUAGUCCACGCUGUAAACGCUGUCGAUUUGGGGGUUGGGGUUUAACUCUGGCGCCCGUAGCUAACGUGAUAAAUCGACCGCCUGGGGAGUACGGCCGCAAGGUUA
rnacentral:rRNA from 1 species